CCUACGGGUGGCUGCAGUGGGGAAUAUUGGACAAUGGGCGAAAGCCUGAUCCAGCCAUGCCGCGUGUGUGAAGAAGGCCUUCGUGUUGUAAAGCACUUUCAGUGGGGAAGAAAGCCUUGGGGCUAAUACCCUCGAGGAAGGACAUCACCCACAGAAGAAGCACCGGCUAACUCCGUGCCAGCAGCCGCGGUAAUACGGAGGGUGCGAGCGUUAAUCGGAAUUACUGGGCGUAAAGCGCGCGUAGGCGGUCUGAUAAGCCGGUUGUGAAAGCCCCGGGCUCAACCUGGGAACGGCAUCCGGAACUGUCAGGCUAGAGUGCAGGAGAGGAAGGUAGAAUUCCCGGUGUAGCGGUGAAAUGCGUAGAGAUCGGGAGGAAUACCAGUGGCGAAGGCGGUCUUCUGGACUGACACUGACGCUGAGGUGCGAAAGCGUGGGUAGCAAACAGGAUUAGAUACCCGAGUAGUC
rnacentral:rRNA from 1 species